CAACAAACCAGGCUGCAGCUGUCCCCUACCCAAGCGUGACAUCGAUGUUCUGUGGAAACUUCUGGCACCUGCGAGGCUGACGACUAAAAGUUACCCUGAUCAGACACCCCUUGGGAGAGGGGGUGAGGAGACGCAGCACCAGUGACUCAGGCACUGGGAGUCGUCUCUUUGUGGCCCAGAUGUGAAAAAGAGAACAAAGAAGACAGGCCUGAUCCUCUUAAGGUCAUGCCUUUAUGACUGGAAGACAUCCAUCUCUGAAAACACAACGGUCUACGACUUUAGCACAUGGGCCUGCAGGAGCAUGAGGUCCAGACCACAGUCUGCCAUUUCACCUUCACGGGAGAUUAGUGUGGCUCUUAGACCUCAUCAGAGAAGUCUGUCCAGUGGACAGCAGCUAAACAGAAACUUACAACUCACCAAACCGCAGACAACGAGACACUCAACUCUAACUGGAACACCUGUAUCACAUUCUUUCUCCCCAACUCGGGGAUCGUCACAGAAGAAAUGCACAUGUAAAGGUGGCAGAAAUGUUGUAAAAGUCAGAGGUUGUGCUGAACCGGCUCCCAGGAGGUGAGGACAGUGUCUACUGCUCUUGACAGGAUGGCCGCGGCUGGGGUUCCAGCAUGGGGGUGAGCACGUAUGAGCUCACCCUAAAGCAGGAGCUAUUGACAGUGUGCAGCUUGUGGGGGCCUUCAGCUGUCGGAGAAACUGCAAGUCCUGAAUGAAGCACACACCCCACACACGUACACACGUACACACAUGAACACACAUGCACAGGGACACAUGCAUGCAAAUAAACACGUUAUCUUUUUAUAAAUGGUAUUUGAAGCUAAAGAUACCUUUUAACGAAUAGCUUUCAUCCCUGUUAUUUGGGCCCCCAGAGCAGACUGAUAUAACUGGAGCACAAGGAGGCUACUGAGACUCUGCAGUGGACAAUAAUGCUAGAGCAUGAAAAUGACCCGAGAAGGCAGCCUGCCAAUAAAAAGUGCAUUAUUUAACUGGCACCCAGAGAGACUAGUGCCUACUCUUAGGGAGAAAUGCCAGCAACACGCAUCUCUGGCCUCAGAACUGUCCUGCAAAGCAAGCUAGGGAACUUCGGACGAUUACUGGUAGGGGGUAGCUUCUGAGGGCCGCCCCAAGUCUGGUUUUUGCAUUCUGCAACUGGCUCCCAAUUCUGAGAAAAACCCUCAGGCCAAAGAUGCAAAUAUUGGUGGUUGGCUUGAAGAGACCAGCUCCCCAUUUCGGCAGCCAUAACAGCCAAACACGUGCUUGUCUGACCUUGUCUUAGUCACUAAGGUCAGACGCCUGCCCCUUUCGGCAGCCAUAACAGCUGAACACGUGCUUGUCUGACCUUGCCUUGGUCACUAAGAGGUCAGAUGCCUGCCUCAUGGCAAGGAACCAAUCAGAAGUUAGUUGGUGGCUCUAUGCUUUAUGGCUCUGGGUGUGCUUUACAGACAAAUGCACAGCAAUGAUGCACAGAGCAUAACAACCACCCUGGGAGGGCCUAUGGGCCAUAACAACCAGUUGGCCAAUCAACACAGGGCAAGCCCUCCAAGCCUGGAGGCACACCAAUCCUGAGCCUGUGCAUACCCCUAGACACUCCCCUUACACUGCCCUACAAGAUCUCUAUGCAGCCGGUUCUAGCUGUCUUUGCUAGCCAUCUGCCAUGGUUGAUGGAUGGAAGGCCCGAGCUAACAUGGAGUUAGCUUGGUAAACAACAAUAAAGCCUCAUGCUGUUUGCAUCAA
rnacentral:lncRNA from 1 species